CCUGGAGACUCCUACGGGAGGCAGCAGUGGGGAAUCUUCCGCAAUGGACGAAAGUCUGACGGAGCAACGCCGCGUGAGUGAUGAAGGUCUUCGGAUUGUAAAGCUCUGUUAAUCGGGACGAAAGAGUUCUGUGUGAAUAAUGCAGAAAAGUGACGGUACCGGAAUAGAAAGCCACGGCUAACUACGUGCCAGCAGCCGCGGUAAUACGUAGGUGGCAAGCGUUGUCCGGAAUUAUUGGGCGUAAAGCGCGCGCAGGCGGCCUAUCCAGUCUGUCUUAAAAGUUCGGGGCUCAACCCCGUGAUGGGAUGGAAACUAGUAGGCUAGAGUAUCGGAGAGGAAAGCGGAAUUCCUAGUGUAGCGGUGAAAUGCGUAGAUAUUAGGAAGAACACCAGUGGCGAAGGCGGCUUUCUGGACGAAAACUGACGCUGAGGCGCGAAAGCCAGGGGAGCGAACGGGAUUAGAUACCCUUGUAGUCCUGAGU
rnacentral:rRNA from 1 species